CUCUGGGAGAAUACUGGGACACACCUUGCUCCAAAACCACUACACUGAGCUGUAUUUUUUGUGGUGCUUAACCCCUUAAGGACACAUGACAUGUGUGACAAGUUAUGAUUCCCUUUUAUUCCAGAAGUUUGGUCCUUAAGGGGUUAAAGGACCACUACAGACACCCAGACCACUUCAGCUCAAUGAAGUGGUCUGGGUGCCAGGUCCCUGACGUUUUAACCCUCA